GGCUUAGAGUUUGAUCAUGGCUCAGGAUGAACGCUGGCGGCGUGCUUAACACAUGCAAGUCGAACGGAGUUUGUUUUGUGAAGUUUUCGGACGGAACGAGACAGACUGAGUGGCGGACGGGUGAGUAACGCGUGGGUAACCUGCCUCAUACAGGGGGAUAACAGUUGGAAACGGCUGCUAAUACCGCAUAAGCGCACGGGACCGCAUGGUCUUGUGUGAAAAACUCCGGUGGUAUGAGAUGGACCCGCGUCUGAUUAGCUGGUUGGUGGGGUAACGGCCCACCAAGGCGACGAUCAGUAGCCGGCCUGAGAGGGUGACCGGCCACAUUGGGACUGAGACACGGCCCAAACUCCUACGGGAGGCAGCAGUGGGGAAUAUUGCACAAUGGGGGAAACCCUGAUGCAGCGACGCCGCGUGACUGAAGAAGUAUUUCGGUAUGUAAAGGUCUAUCAGCAGGGAAGAAAGAAGACGAUACCUGACUAAGAAGCCCCGGCUAACUACGUGCCAGCAGCCGCGGUAAUACGUAGGGGGCAAGCGUUAUCCGGAUUUACUGGGUGUAAAGGGAGCGCAGGUGGUAUGGCAAGUCAGAAGUGAAAACCCGAGGCUUAACCACGGGAUUGCUUUUGAAACUGUUAAACUAGAGUGCAGGAGGGGCAGGCG
rnacentral:rRNA from 1 species